rnacentral:tRNA from 1 species
GCCGGUGUGGCGGAAUGGUAGACGCAGCGGAUUCAAAAUCCGCCGGCAGCGAUGUCGUGGAGGUUCGAGUCCUCUCACCGGUACCA